ACGGGUGAGUAACGCGUAGGUAAUCUACCUCAAAAUCCGGAAUAACCUGCCGAAAGGCGGGCUAAUACUAGAUAGAGCGACGAAAUCCGUAAUAGGAUUUUUCGGGAAAGGGAGGGAGCAAUCCCCUUCGUUUUGAGAUGAGCCUGCGUCUCAUUAGCUAGUUGGUGGGGUAAUGGCCUACCAAGGCUUUGAUGGGUAGCUGGUCUGAGAGGAUGAUCAGCCACACUGGAACUGAAACACGGUCCAGACUCCUACGGGAGGCAGCAGUGGGGAAUCUUGCGCAAUGGACGAAAGUCUGACGCAGCAACGCCGCGUGAGUGAAGAAGGCCUUCGGGUUGUAAAGCUCUGUCGCCCGGGACGAAAAGCAUUAAGGUUAACAGCCUUAGUGCCUGACGGUACCGGGAGAGGAAGCACCGGCUAACUCCGUGCCAGCAGCCGCGGUAAUACGGAGGGUGCAAGCGUUGCUCGGAAUUAUUGGGCGUAAAGGGUAGGUAGGUGGUCUUAUUUGUCUGGGGUGAAAGCCUUGAGCUUAACUCAAGAAGUGCCCUAGAAACGGUAAGACUCGAGUCCUGGAGAGGGUUGUGGAA
rnacentral:rRNA from 1 species